CCGGCCUGGUUCAGACCAUUCUUUACGGCAUUCGAGUGGGGUUGGCUUUCAUCGUUAUGUUGGCGGUCAUGUCAUAUAACGUGGGAAUUUUGCUAGCGGCAGUGACUGGAUAUUCGAUCGGGUUCUUGGUUUAUGGGAGAAAUACAUCGAAAAAAUUGUGUCAGGAGACCCAUUCCCCAUGCAAUACAAAGAUGCGUUGGGAUUGACUUUUCCCCAACGUUCAUUUGACCGACGACAUCAAUGUGUUGGGGUAACCUAUAUGACUCUGCCAACGUCCUCGUGAACAUCGGGAGAAGGUGUUUCCCGACGCUACGUCGUGGAAUCUAUCCUUGAUGCCAUCUUACAUGUGUCGCGGAAAGACCUAUUUACUGAUGCAGUUUGUGCGCUGGAAAUAAUAAUUCUAGUUUUUUUUUAAUUAUUAUCUUUUAAAUUUUAAAUUUUUUGUUUCGAUUGUAGUUUC